AAUAAUAAUGAGGAUAAUCAUAAUAGUAAUAAUAAUAAUAAUAAUAAUAAUAAUAAUAAUAAUAAUAAUAAUAAUAAUAAUAAUAAUAAUAAUAAUAAUAGAUCAAAGGAAGAGAGGUUGAUUAUACCCCAGCCAGGAAUCAUAGGAAGACAGGUUGAUUAUGCCCCAGCCAGGAAUCAUAGGAAGACAGGUUGAUUAUGCCCCAGCCAGGAAUCAUAGGAAGACAGGUUGAUUAUGCCCCAGCCAGGAAUCAUAGGAAGACAGGUUGAUUAUGCCCCAGCCAGGAAUCAUAGGAAGACAGGUUGAUUAUGCCCCAGCCAGGAAUCAUAGGAAGACAGGUUGAUUAUGCCCCAGCCAGGAAUCAA